rnacentral:rRNA from 1 species
CAGUCGCCACGGUAAUACAGAGGGUGCAAGCGUUAAUCGGAAUUACUGGGCGUAAAGCGCGCGUAGGUGGUUUGUUAAGUUGGAUGUGAAAUCCCCGGGCUCAACCUGGGAACUGCAUUCAAAACUGACUGACUAGAGUAUGGUAGAGGGUGGUGGAAUUUCCUGUGUAGCGGUGAAAUGCGUAGAUAUAGGAAGGAACACCAGUGGCGAAGGCGACCACCUGGACUAAUACUGACACUGAGGUGCGAAAGCGUGGGGAGCAAACAGGAUUAGAUACCCGUGUAGUCCCUGUCUCUUAUAC